rnacentral:rRNA from 1 species
ACGAACGCUGGCGGCGUGCCUAAUACCUGCAAGUAGAACGCUGAAGAGAGGAGCUUGCUCUUCUUGGAUGAGUUGCGAACGGGUGAGUAACGCGUAGGUAACCUGCCUUGUAGCGGGGGAUAACUAUUGGAAACGAUAGCUAAUACCGCAUAACAAUGGAUGACCCAUGUCAUUUAUUUGAAAGGGGCAAAUGCUCCACUACAAGAUGGACCUGCGUUGUAUUAGCUAGUAGGUGAGGUAACGGCUCACCUAGGCGACGAUACAUAGCCGACCUGAGAGGGUGAUCGGCCACACUGGGACUGAGACACGGCCCAGACUCCUACGGGAGGCAGCAGUAGGGAAUCUUCGGCAAUAGGGGCAACCCUGACCGAGCAACGCCGCGUGAGUGAAGAAGGUUUUCGGAUCGUAAAGCUCUGUUGUAAGUCAAGAACGAGUGUGAGAGUGGAAAGUUCACACUGUGACGGUAGCUUACCAGAAAGGGACGGCUAACUACGUG